UUCACCUAUCUACUGUGUUUCCUUCUCAUCUUUCCACCAUCUUUUUUUGCCAUCCCAUACCGUUUCUCUAUCUCAAUGCACUAUCUCUUUUUCCCCCCUUUGACUCUCAAACUUUGCACUUUCUUUUUCCCUUUAUCUCUCCCAGUCCUUUAACCUGUCUUAUCUGCAAAUGUAAGAACGACCAACGACGAAGCCGUCGUACCGAUCGAAGAUAAACUGUACCAGAGCACCACCACCCGUCCAUUAUGGUUUUCUAAACUCCCUCAUUUUCACUCUCUAAACUCUGUGCCCACUGCACAAAAACAUGAAUAGUGAUCAUCUGCCAUGGCCGACUCUAGCGAGGUUGACAUACCACCAGGCUAUCAUCGCUUCUCCUUUGUGAAAACCCAGGAAUCGGACACAAAACCUUGGACCCUUUAUUUCAGCUCCUUAUCUUCUCCACUACAUAGAAAAGUUAAGCCGAGACUAGCAUCGCCAUUUUCUUCAGCGAGUUUACUUAGAACCCAACGAAACCAAGAAAUGCAUGGGGAGGAACUUCCCAGAUUUUCCGGCUACUUUCGAGCUGUUUUCCAACCAACUCCAGCCACGGCCGAGGAAACCAAAGGUGCGAUUAAUUUUAGAGAUUCCAGCUAUCCUAGCUCGAACGGCUGUGGCCUCGCAAGUAUCAGUGAGUGGAUCUUUACUUUUAAAUAUUAUAUACUUAUUUAGUUUCCAUUUAUACAUUUGAAAAAGAACUUCCUACGUAUGUCUAGAUUAGAUUAAUGUUUGUAAGAAUUAGCGAAAUAACGCAAUUUAUGAAAUUAUCCUAAAUCCUACGGGAUGCACAUGUAUGCAUAUUAUUAAGGGAUGCCUCAUUUAUAUUUAUAGCAGUGAAUGGUAUUAUGUUGGCGUAAGUUAUUGAUUUACCGUUGUAUGAUUUUGUUUACGUUAUCUGCUCAUCUUUGCUACACGGUGUUAGUACUCGCCCAGGCCAUGGCUAGGCUUCCAUGUGUGCACAUCGCACCGUACGCUCAAUUUGGAUCCAUUGUAGGUGCCAGUCUUGUCCUAGAUUGCAAUAGGCAAUUAGGACUCGUAUGUGUUGUGCAUAGUGCUAGUCUUCACAUGAUUGUAGUACUAGAGCAUAUAUCUUCGUUACACCCAGUUCUGUUUAUGUCAGAAUAUCUCUGCAUAAACUCAUGUGUCAGCAUGUGUCGAUGAGCACUUGAUAUGAUACGUUUGCUUAUGUGAGGUUAUGUGAUUACAGAUGUCAUAUGCUUACUUACGAAAUAUUGUGCCAUAUUGAAUUCUUGAGGUUUUGCAGGUUGUGGUAGUAUUUUCUUACUAUACGUAGUAUGUAUAUUUUGGAAAUUCUACUUGAUUUACGGCGAGGGGUUAUAAUGUUUUCAAAAAGGUUUUUACAAACUUUAUUUUUAGGCCCACUCAUCUUUGUUUUUCACCCCUCCAAGUUUUAGUUGCUGAGCUUUCGUAUCGAUAAGGAUUCUUGGCAAAUCUUGGUAUUGGAGAUUACCUUCGAUGAUUUGGAGAUUUGGAACAAGCAAAGAAUUUAAGGAAGGUUGCAACCUGCAAGUGCAAGAUAUUUUUAAUUGAAUUGUGAAUUUGAAAGUAAAUUUGAAUUGGAUUGUGAUUUGUAGAUAUGUGAAUUGGAUAUGUGAAUUUGAAAUAGAUAUAGAUAGGUGAAAUUGAAUUGGAUUUGUGAAAUUGAAAUGGAUAUAUGAAAUUGAAAUGGAUAUGUGAAUUUGAA